rnacentral:rRNA from 1 species
UGCUGGGUGGAUUAGUGGCGAACGGGUGAGUAACACGUGAGCAACGUGCCCAUAACUCUGGGAUAACCUCCGGAAACGGUGGCUAAUACUGGAUAUCUAACGCGAUCGCAUGGUCUGUGUUUGGAAAGAUUUUUUGGUUAUGGAUCGGCUCACGGCCUAUCAGCUUGUUGGUGAGGUAAUGGCUCACCAAGGCGACGACGGGUAGCCGGCCUGAGAGGGUGACCGGCCACACUGGGACUGAGACACGGCCCAGACUCCUACGGGAGGCAGCAGUGGGGAAUAUUGCACAAUGGGCGAAAGCCUGAUGCAGCAACGCCGCGUGAGGGAUGACGGCCUUCGGGUUGUAAACCUCUUUUAGUAGGGAAGAAGCGAAAGUGACGGUACCUGCAGAAAAAGCACCGGCUAACUACGUGCCAGCAGCCGCGGUAAUACGUAGGGUGCAAGCGUUGUCCGGAAUUAUUGGGCGUAAAGAGCUCGUAGGCGGUUUGUCGCGUCUGCUGUGAAAUCCCGAGGCUCAACCUCGGGUCUGCAGUGGGUACGGGCAGACUAGA